rnacentral:rRNA from 1 species
CACUAUCGUUAACUGAAUACAUAGGUUAACGAGGCGAACCGGGGGAACUGAAACAUCUAAGUACCCCGAGGAAAAGAAAUCAACCGAGAUUCCCCCAGUAGCGGCGAGCGAACGGGGAGCAGCCCAGAGUCUGAAUCAGCUUGUGUGUUAGUGGAACGGUCUGGAAAGUCCGACGGUACAGGGUGAUAGUCCCGUACACCAAAAUGCACAGGCUGUGAACUCGAAGAGUAGGGCGGGACACGUGGUAUCCUGUCUGAAUAUGGGGGGACCAUCCUCCAAGGCUAAAUACUCCUGACUGACCGAUAGUGAACCAGUACCGUGAGGGAAAGGCGAAAAGAACCCCGGCGAGGGGAGUGAAAAAGAACCUGAAACCGUGUACGUACAAGCAGUGGGAGCACCUUCGGGUGUGACUGCGUACCUUUUGUAUAAUGGGUCAGCGACUUAUAUUCUGUAGCAAGGUUAACCGUAUAGGGGAGCCGCAGGGAAACCGAGUCUUAACUGGGCGUUAAGUUGCAGGGUAUAGACCCGAAACCCGGUGAUCUAGCCAUGGGCAGGUUGAAGGUUGGGUAACACUAACUGGAGGACCGAACCGACUAAUGUUGAAAAAUUAGCGGAUGACUUGUGGCUGGGGGUGAAAGGCCAAUCAAACCGGGAGAUAGCUGGUUCUCCCCGAAAGCUAUUUAGGUAGCGCCUCGUGAAUUCAUCUUCGGGGGUAGAGCACUGUUUCGGCUAGGGGGUCAUCCCGACUUACCAACCCGAUGCAAACUACGAAUACCGAAGAAUGUUAUCACGGGAGACACACGGCGGGUGCUAACGUCCGUCGUGAAGAGGGAAACAACCCAGACCGCCAGCUAAGGUCCCAAAGUCAUGGUUAAGUGGGAAACGAUGUGGGAAGGCACAGACAGCCAGGAUGUUGGCUUAGAAGCAGCCAUCAUUUAAAGAAAGCGUAAUAGCUCACUGGUCGAGUCGGCCUGCGCGGAAGAUGUAACGGGGCUAAACCAUGCACCGAAGCUGCGGCAGCGACACUAUGUGUUGUUGGGUAGGGGAGCGUUCUGUAAGCCUGCGAAGGUGACCUGUGAGGGUUGCUGGAGGUAUCAGAAGUGCGAAUGCUGACAUAAGUAACGAUAAAGCGGGUGAAAAGCCCGCUCGCCGGAAGACCAAGGGUUCCUGUCCAACGUUAAUCGGGGCAGGGUGAGUCGACCCCUAAGGCGAGGCCGAAAGGCGUAGUCGAUGGGAAACAGGUUAAUAUUCCUGUACUUGGUGUUACUGCGAAGGGGGGACGGAGAAGGCUAUGUUAGCCGGGCGACGGUUGUCCCGGUUUAAGCAUGUAGGCUGGUUGUCCAGGCAAAUCCGGAUAAUCAAGGCUGAGGUGUGAUGACGAGGCACUACGGUGCUGAAGUAACAAAUGCCCUGCUUCCAGGAAAAGCCUCUAAGCAUCAGGUAACAUCAAAUCGUACCCCAAACCGACACAGGUGGUCAGGUAGAGAAUACCAAGGCGCUUGAGAGAACUCGGGUGAAGGAACUAGGCAAAAUGGUGCCGUAACUUCGGGAGAAGGCACGCUGGUGUGUAGGUGAAGUCCCUGCGGAUGGAGCUGAGACCAGUCGAAGAUACCAGCUGGCUGCAACUGUUUAUUAAAAACACAGCACUGUGCAAACACGAAAGUGGACGUAUACGGUGUGACGCCUGCCCGGUGCCGGAAGGUUAAUUGAUGGGGUUAUCCGUAAGGAGAAGCUCUUGAUCGAAGCCCCGGUAAACGGCGGCCGUAACUAUAACGGUCCUAAGGUAGCGAAAUUCCUUGUCGGGUAAGUUCCGACCUGCACGAAUGGCGUAAUGAUGGCCAGGCUGUCUCCACCCGAGACUCAGUGAAAUUGAACUCGCUGUGAAGAUGCAGUGUACCCGCGGCAAGACGGAAAGACCCCGUGAACCUUUACUAUAGCUUGACACUGAACAUUGAGCCUUGAUGUGUAGGAUAGGUGGGAGGCUUUGAAGCGUGGACGCCAGUCUGCGUGGAGCCAACCUUGAAAUACCACCCUUUAAUGUUUGAUGUUCUAACGUUGGCCCCUUAUCGGGGUUGCGGACAGUGUCUGGUGGGUAGUUUGACUGGGGCGGUCUCCUCCCAAAGCGUAACGGAGGAGCACGAAGGUUAGCUAAUCCUGGUCGGACAUCAGGAGGUUAGUGCAAUGGCAUAAGCUAGCUUGACUGCGAGCGUGACGGCGCGAGCAGGUGCGAAAGCAGGUCAUAGUGAUCCGGUGGUUCUGAAUGGAAGGGCCAUCGCUCAACGGAUAAAAGGUACUCCGGGGAUAACAGGCUGAUACCGCCCAAGAGUUCAUAUCGACGGCGGUGUUUGGCACCUCGAUGUCGGCUCAUCACAUCCUGGGGCUGAAGUAGGUCCCAAGGGUAUGGCUGUUCGCCAUUUAAAGUGGUACGCGAGCUGGGUUUAGAACGUCGUGAGACAGUUCGGUCCCUAUCUGCCGUGGGCGCUGGAGAAUUGAGGGGGGCUGCUCCUAGUACGAGAGGACCGGAGUGGACGCAUCACUGGUGUUCGGGUUGUCAUGCCAAUGGCACUGCCCGGUAGCUAAAUGCGGAAGAGAUAAGUGCUGAAAGCAUCUAAGCACGAAACUUGCCCCGAGAUGAGUUCUCCCUGAGACUUUAAGUCUCCUGAAGGAACGUUAAAGACGAUGACGUUGAUAGGCCGGGUGUGUAAGCGCAGCGAUGCGUUGAGCUAACCGGUACUAAUGAACCGUGAGGCUUAACCUU